UGAGGCGGGGAGAGUAAAAAAGAGGGCCGAAGAGUGAUGGGCAUGGGAACAUGAUGGAAGGCUGAAGAACUCAGUUUCUCGUCUAAGACUGAAAGAGGCUUUGUUUUGAGUUUUUAUAAUGCCUCUUAUCCCUAUUGUUCUUUUGUGUUCCUUCCUCUCCCUUCUGGAU
rfam:Triticum aestivum genome assembly, contig: Triticum_aestivum_CS42_TGACv1_scaffold_049762_1BS